rnacentral:rRNA from 1 species
GAACUUAAGCAUAUCAAUAAGCGGAGGAAAAGAAACCAACAGGGAUUGCCUCAGUAACGGCGAGUGAAGCGGCAACAGCUCAAAUUUGAAAUCUGGCVUCUUUCGGGGUCCGAGUUGUAAUUUGUAGAGGAUGUUUCGGGUACCGCUCCGGUUUAAAUUUCUUGGAACAGAAUGUCAGAGAGGGUGAGAAUCCCGUCUUGGACCGGCGGUAGGGCCCAUGUGAAACUCCUUCGACGAGUCGAGUUGUUUGGGAAUGCAGCUCAAAAUGGGUGGUAAAUUUCAUCUAAAGCUAAAUAUUGGCCAGAGACCGAUAGCGCACAAGUAGAGUGAUCGAAAGAUGAAAAGCACUUUGAAAAGAGAGUUAAACAGUAUGUGAAAUUGUUGAAAGGGAAGCGCUUGCAACCAGACUUGCGCGCGGCGGUUCCCCCUUCCUUUUGGUUGGGUUACUCCGUCGUGUCCAGGCCAACAUCGGUUCUGGGGGUCGGUUAAAGGCCCAGGGAAUGUACCUACCCUUCGGGCGUAGACUUAUAGCCCCGGGUGUCAUGCGACCUCCCGGGACCGAGGAACGCGCUUCGGCUCGGAUGUUGGCGUAAUGGUUGUCAGCGACCCGUCUUGAAACACGGACCAAGGAGUCUAACAUCUAUGCGAGUGUUUGGGUGUCAAACCCGGAACGCGAAAUGAAAGUGAACGGAGGUAGGAAGCUCUUUUGGGCUGCACUAUCGACCGAUCCUGAUGUCUUCGGAUGGAUUUGAGUAAGAGCAUAGCUGUUGGGACCCGAAA